GUAGAGAUGCUUUCAUUCGUGCUUUCUUAUGGUGAAAACACUCACUCCAGGCCGUACACCGCUAGCAGUUAGGUAGUCUUGAGUCUAGAUCAGACUGGAGCGCUGGCGGCUAGGCAUUAGCACAUGCAAGUCGUAGCGGGGAAGGAGUCGUUCUGUUACGUUAGCCGAGCGGCGGACGGGUGAGUAAUGCUUAGGAAUCUGCUAUUAGUGGGGGACAACAUUCCGAAAGGAAUGCUAAUACCGCAUACGCCCUACAGGAGGAAAGCAGGGGAUCUUCGGACCUGCGCUCAUAGAUGAGCCUAAGUCAGAUUAGCUAGUUGGUGGGGUAAAGGCCUACCAAGGCGACGAUCUGUAGCGGGUCUGAGAGGAUGAUCCGCCACACUGGGACUGAGACACGGCCCAGACUCCUACGGGAGGCAGCAGUGGGGAAUAUUGGACAAUGGGCGCAAGCCUGAUCCAGCCAUGCCGCGUGUGUGAAGAAGGCCUUUUGGUUGUAAAGCACUUUUAGCGAGGAGGAGGCUACGUGGAUUAAUACUCUAGGAUAGUGGACGUUACUCGCAGAAUAAGCACCGGCUAACUCUGUGCCAGCAGCCGCGGUAAUACAGAGGGUGCGAGCGUUAAUCGGAUUUACUGGGCGUAAAGCGCGCGUAGGCGGCUUGUUAAGUCGGAUGUGAAAUCCCUGAGCUUAACUUAGGAAUUGCAUUCGAUACUGGGAAGCUAGAGUAUGGGAGAGGGGGGUAGAAUUCCAGGUGUAGCGGUGAAAUGCGUAGAGAUCUGGAGGAAUACCGAUGGCGAAGGCAGCCCCCUGGCCGAAUACUGACGCUGAGGUACGAAAGCAUGGGGAGCAAACAGGAUUAGAUACCCUGGUAGUCCAUGCCGUAAACGAUGUCUACUAGGAGGUGGGGCCCUUGAGGCUUUAGUGCCUAACGCGUUAAGUCGACCGCCUGGGGAGUACGGUCGCAAGGCUUAAAACUCAAAUGAAUUGACGGGGGCCCGCACAAGCGGUGGAGCAUGUGGUUUAAUUCGAUGCAACGCGAAGAACCUUACCUGGUCUUGACAUACUAAGAACUUUCCAGAGAUGGAUUGGUGCCUUCGGGAACUUACAUACAGGUGCUGCAUGGCUGUCGUCAGCUCGUGUCGUGAAAUGUUGGGUUAAGUCCCGCAACGAGCGCAACCCUUUUCCUUAUUUGCCAGCGGGUUAGGCCGGGAACUUUAAGGAAACGGCCAUUGACAAACUGGAGGAAGGGGGGGACAACUUCAAGUCAUCAGGGCCCUUACAACCAGGGCUACACACUUGCUACAAUGGUCGGUACAAAGGGUUGCUACCUACCGAUAGGAUGCUAAUCUCAAAAAUCCGAUCGUAUUCCGGAUUGAAGUCUGCAACUCAACUCCAUGAAGUCGGAAUCGCUAGUAAUCGCGGAUCAAAAUGCCGCGGUGAAUACUUUCCCGGGCCUUGUACACACCGCCCGUCACACCAUGGGAAUUUGUUGCACCAGAAGUAUGUAGUCUAACCGCAGGGAGGACGCUCACCACGGUGUGGCCGAUGACUGGUGUGAUCUCAUAACAGGAAACCCAAAAAUGUGGAGAACAAUCCC
rnacentral:rRNA from 1 species